rnacentral:rRNA from 1 species
GAGUUUGAUCUUGGCUCAGGACGAACGCUGGCGGCGCGCCUAACACAUGCAAGUCGAACGGAAUUAUUCCGGUUGAAGUUUUCGGAUGGAUACUGGUUUAGUUUAGUGGCGAACGGGUGAGUAACGCGUGAGUAACCUGCCCUGGAGUGGGGGACGAACAGUUGGAACGACUGCUAAUACCGCAUAAGCCCACCGGUGCCGCAUGGCACAGCGGGAAAAGGAAUUUAUUCGCUUCAGGAUGGACUCGCGUCCAAUUAGCUAGUUGGUGAGGUAACGGCCCACCAAGGCGACGAUUGGUAGCCGGACUGAGAGGUUGAACGGCCACAUUGGGAC